rnacentral:tRNA from 1 species
CAAGGUGAAGCUUUAAAGUUAAGUAUUUCAUUUACACUGAAAGGAUUUCUGUGCAAUUCAGUUUAUCUUGA